GUGAGGAAUAUUGGUCAAUGGGCGGAAGCCUGAACCAGCCAUGCCGCGUGAAGGACGAAGGCGUUCUGCGUUGUAAACUUCUUUUAUAAGGGAAGAAACCUGCGAUAUCUAUUGCAGCCUACGGUACCUUAUGAAUAAGCACCGGCUAACUCCGUGCCAGCAGCCGCGGUAAUACGGAGGGUGCAAGCGUUAUCCGGAUUCACUGGGCUCAAAGGGUGUGUAGGCGGGCUUGUAAGUCAGGGGUGAAAUCCUACAGCUUAACUGUAGAACUGCCUUUGAUACUAUAGGUCUUGAAUAUUGUUGAGGUGGGCGGAAUACAUCAUGUAGCGGUGAAAUGCUUAGAUAUGAUGUAGAACACCGAUUGCGAAGGCAGCUCACUAAGCAAAUAUUGACGCUGAGGCACGAAAGCGUGGGGAUCAAACAGGAUUAGAAACCCCAGUAGUCC
rnacentral:rRNA from 1 species